rnacentral:misc_RNA from 1 species
GUGAAUCAUCAAAUUUUUGAACGCAAAUUGCACUCUCCUCGGAGAGGAUGCCUGUUUGAGGGUGAGCGUAAAAAAAUAGACAUAGUUGCUGUUGCGCGGUGGCGUUCGGUGGAAAGUGGGUCAUCUUAAAUCCUUUUGAUUUAUGCGACUGAAAAUUUUCUUUUGGUUCCAUGAACGUUUCUAAGAUCAAUUUCUUUACACGUUUAAGGUAUCGAUUUUUACUAGACGUGACCAUCAUAUAGUAUCGCGUCCAUAAUCUUUCUUUAAAC